rnacentral:rRNA from 1 species
UGGGGAAUAUUGGACAAUGGGCGCAAGCCUGAUCCAGCCAUGCCGCGUGAGUGAUGAAGGCCUUAGGGUUGUAAAGCUCUUUUAUCCGGGACGAUAAUGACGGUACCGGAGGAAUAAGCCCCGGCUAACUUCGUGCCAGCAGCCGCGGUAAUACAAAGGGGGCUAGCGUUGCUCGGAAUCACUGGGCGUAAAGGGCGCGUAGGCGGCGUUUUAAGUCGGGGGUGAAAGCCUGUGGCUCAAGCCCACAAGAAUGGCCUUCGAUACUGGGACGCUUGAGUAUGGUAGAGGUUGGUGGAACUGCGAGUGUAGAGGUGAAAUUCGUAGAUAUUCGCAAGAACACCGGUGGCGAAGGCGGCCAACUGGACCAUUACUGACGCUGAGGCGCGAAAAGCGUGGGGAGCAAACAGGAUUAGAUACCCGUGGUAGUCCACGCCGUAAAACGAUGAAUGCCAGCUGUUGGGGUGCUUGCACCGCAGUAGCGCAGCUAACGCUUUGAGCAUUCCGCCUGGGGAGUACGGUCGCAAGAUUAAAACUCAAAUGAAUUGACGGGGUCAUAGCUGUUUCCU